rnacentral:rRNA from 1 species
CAGCAGCCGCGGGAAUACGAAGGGUGCAAGCGUUACUCGGAAUUACUGGGCGUAAAGCGUGUGUAGGUGGUUGUUUAAGUCUGUCGUGAAAGCCCUGGGCUCAACCUGGGAAUUGCGAUGGAUACUGGGCGACUAGAGUGCGGUAGAGGAUAGUGGAAUUUCCGGUGUAGCGGUGAAAUGCGUAGAGAUCGGGAGGAACAUCAGUGGCGAAGGCGGCCAUCUGGGACAACACUGACGCUGAGGCACGAAAGCGUGGGGAGCAAACAGGAUUAGAUACCCCGGUAGUCCCUGUCUCUUAUAC